AGUGAACGCUGGCGGUAGGCCUAACACAUGCAAGUCGAACGGCAGCACAGUAAGAGCUUGCUCUUACGGGUGGCGAGUGGCGGACGGGUGAGGAAUACAUCGGAAUCUACUUUUUCGUGGGGGAUAACGUAGGGAAACUUACGCUAAUACCGCAUACGACCUACGGGUGAAAGCAGGGGAUCUUCGGACCUUGCGCGAUUGAAUGAGCCGAUGUCGGAUUAGCUAGUUGGCGGGGUAAAGGCCCACCAAGGCGACGAUCCGUAGCUGGUCUGAGAGGAUGAUCAGCCACACUGGAACUGAGACACGGUCCAGACUCCUACGGGAGGCAGCAGUGGGGAAUAUUGGACAAUGGGCGCAAGCCUGAUCCAGCCAUACCGCGUGGGUGAAGAAGGCCUUCGGGUUGUAAAGCCCUUUUGUUGGGAAAGAAAAGCAGCAGGUUAAUACCCCGCUGCUCUGACGGUACCCAAAGGAUAAGCACCGGCUAACUUCGUG
rnacentral:rRNA from 1 species